rnacentral:rRNA from 1 species
UACAGAGGCCUCAAGCGUUGUUCGGAUUCAUUGGGCGUAAAGGGUGCGCAGGCGGCCGUGUGUGUCAGGUGUGAAAGCCCGGAGCUUAACUCCGGAAUUGCGCCUGAAACUACAUGGCUAGAGCAUUGGAGAGGGUAGCGGAAUUCACGGUGUAGCAGUGAAAUGCGUAGAUAUCGUGAGGAACACCAGAGGCGAAGGCGGCUACCUGGACAAUUGCUGACGCUCAGGCACGAAAGCGUGGGGAGCAAAAGGG